GACGAACGCUGGCGGCGUGCCUAAUACAUGCAAGUAGAACGCAGUUGCGAACGGGUGAGUAACGCGUAGGUAACUGCCUGGUAGCGGGGGAUAACUAUUGGAAACGAUAGCUAAUACCGCAUCCUAACAGAUGGACCUGCGUUGUAUUAGCUAGUUGGUGGGGUAAAGGCCUACCAAGGCGACGAUCAGUAGCGGGUCUGAGAGGUUGGUCCGCCACACUGGGAGUGAGACACGGCCCAGACUCCUACGGGAGGCAGCAGUGGGGAAUUUUGGACAAUGGGCGCAAGCCUGAUCCAGCCAUGCCGCGUGUAUGAAGAAGGCCCUAGGGUUGUAAAGUACUUUCAGUCGGGAGGCGUUACCGACAGAAGAAGCACCGGCUAACUCCGUGCCAGCAGCCGCGGUAAUUC
rnacentral:rRNA from 1 species